CUUUCUUAAGCAAGUUGGAGUACCUUCUAGUCAACAAUAGAGGACUGCAGGGAUAACGCAUUCUUCAUCUUGCCUGCUGUUCGGAAGUGUAGAUGAUUUUUUGCUUUCAAUUGAGGCAGACAAGUGAUUGUCCUAAAUUGUUAGCUAGUGUCAACAUUGCCAUUUCUUGGUCACCCUUCGGAGUAAUUGGAGGAUUUACCAUGUCCUUGUAGUUUGAGACUGACAUAUAUUGCUCUGAUAAAAGUGUUUCAAGAGGUCUCCAAGUUUCUGAAGCCGCUAUAUAUGCAGCUUUGUUGCUGAAUAGUUCUAUUGGAGAAUGAUAUCUCACCUUAAAAUUCACACAGGUACAGCAAUCAUGACCAUGUAAACUUAUUGCAAUUCCUCGACCAAACAGGAAACAGCGAAAGAAGAAAAUGACUGCAUCUUAUUCAGUUAUGUUCGCAGUGUCAAAGUUCUUUUCAAUAUUAACUUUCAGUCGUCCCUCUAGCUUUCCAUGGUCUAAUAUAUUGGACAUUUUCUCU